UACGUAGGGUGCAAGCGUUAAUCGGAAUUACUGGGCGUAAAGCGCGCGUAGGCGGUCAUGUAAGUCAGGGGUGAAAUCCCAGAGCUUAACUCUGGAAUGGCCUUUGAGACUGCAUGGCUAGAGAACGGGAGAGGUGAGUGGAAUUCCCAGUGUAGAGGUGAAAUUCGUAGAUAUUGGGAAGAACACCGGUGGCGAAGGCGGCUCACUGGCCCGUUUCUGACGCUGAGGCGCGAAAGCGUGGGGAGCAAACAGG
rnacentral:rRNA from 1 species